rnacentral:rRNA from 1 species
UGGGGAAUUUUGGACAAUGGGCGAAGCUGAUCAGCAAUGCCGCGUGUGUGAAGAAGGCCUUCGGGUUGUAAAGCACUUUUGUCCGGAAAGAAAUCCUUGGCUCUAAUACAGUCGGGGGGAUGACGGUACCGGAAGAAUAAGCACCGGCUAACUACGUGCCAGCAGCCGCGGUAAUACGUAGGGUGCAAGCGUUAAUCGGAAUUACUGGGCGUAAAGCGUGCGCAGGCGGUUUGCUAAGACCGAUGUGAAAUCCCCGGGCUCAACCUGGGAACUGCAUUGGUGACUGGCAGGCUAGAGUAUGGCAGAGGGGGGUAGAAUUCCACGUGUAGCAGUGAAAUGCGUAGAGAUGUGGAGGAAUACCGAUGGCGAAGGCAGCCCCCUGGG